CGGGGUGAGUAACGCGUGAAUAACCUGCCUUGCAGUGGGGGAUAACACACCGAAAGGUGUGCUAAUACCGCAUGAUGUAAGGGGAAGGGCAUCUUCCCCUUACCAAAGAUUUAUCGCUGUGAGAUGGAUUCGCGUCCGAUUAGAUAGUUGGUGAGGUAACGGCCCACCAAGUCGACGAUCGGUAGCCGGACUGAGAGGUUGAACGGCCACAUUGGGACUGAGACACGGCCCAG
rnacentral:rRNA from 1 species